CACGAGGAUGUGAAAGAGCCAGUGCAGCGCGACUUCACGUAGUGCAGAGGAGCCAAUGCCAAAAAAUCAAAAUACAUUGGCAUGUUAUUUGGACAAGAAAACUAGUAUGUGGGUAUAUUGGGUGUACCAUUUGACCAAAUGUCAACAAAAUCAAGAUACAGUAUGUUACACGAAGAUGAAAAUUCUCACAUGCUCCAGGCAGUCAUCUUAACAUAGUAUAUUUAUGUAAUGUCUCUGAUUGGAAAGUCAAAUCAAGUAUGCUCUCUGGAGACAAACACAUUGCAGCAAGUGUCAUUGAAAAGUUAAAAAUGUGUUUUAAGAAAGCUGAUUAGUUCUGAGAAGUGACUGCUUUUUGUCUUGCCUCUCAACAGAUAUAUCCAUGUGAUAAAAAAAUAGUGGUACAAUGAAAAUGCAUAUUUGCUUAGCGACAUGAUACAUACUUGCAAUGAGCACGGUGCCUGUGUUUACUAUAAAAAGCAACAGCCCAUGCUUGGUUAGGUUAGGCCAACUACAACAUGCAGGCAUGGGUGAUUGGCGCUUUUUUUAUUUCUGUGUCGUGAGGUUUAUUGACGUGCGUAUAGGUGCAGUGGCACGCAGUAUGGCUAGUACAAAAAAAGGGGGGGGGGGGGCAGAUAUAUGUAGCUCACUGUACACGCCACAGGGCAAAGGAAAUCUGUGUUCAGUAACUAUGUUAAAUGCCAUGUACGUAAAUUUUACAACGCUACUCGUUCGAAGCGCGCACAGGUGCAUAUUGAAGAAAAGUUUCCAGGGUAGAUAAUUUAGUUCGUAAUUUACACUAAUUUUGCUCUAACCACGAGACAUAAUAAUUUGAAUAUACUGCACGGAAAAACCUAGAGCGAAUUAAAUUGUGUGUCAGCUUCGUGUGUAUACAUAUAGUCUUUCCUAUGCAUUAGGUUUUUUGCGUAAUGCAUUAGCAGUUGACAGCCUAUCUUAUGAUGUGUACUCUGUUUACAGUUGUUUAUUAGUUUACUCGUUUGUUUUGCGACUGAUGAAAUGCUGGCAUAUAUAUAUUUUCCACAUUUGACAUAACCCUGUAUGUUUUGCAGGGACAACCCAGGACGUGCAUUUCUCAGCACCCAGUCAACUGCCAAAAGUGACUCAAACACAGGCCACCAGUGGAACUCGGCUGUACCACUGCAGUGCUGCGGAAAUUGCCUUCACCAGCGGCUUUGCAACAGCUGUUUCGCAGCAUGUCGGAGACAAUGCCUACGAAAUUAUUGGCCCUGAUCAUGAGAGCCUUCAAGGCGCAAACAAGAUCUCUGUUGCAGAAGUGAGCCCGAUACCACUUGGAAGUUACUAUGACAGAUGACACGGCAGCAAUAGAUACAGAGACUGCCAUGUCUACUGCAGCUGCAACAGUGUACGAGGCAAGCAGCAGCGCGUCAGCAUCAGCAGCAGUGUCAGAAGGAACCACACCAGGCCUGGUAGAGCAACAUGUGUGCUAUCACUGACUUUUUUUGUAGUGGAUACAACUCAUUUGCUCAAGAUACAAAAGCUUUUCACCACGACAGUGAGCCAGUGUUAUUGUGCAGCAAGUGCAAGACUAAGUUAGGUGUUAUAACACAGUACAAGCAUCACUUUAAUAUAUGCAAACAUAUUACAGUUGUUGCCUCCCCAGCCAGCCCACAUAGUGACAACAAUGUUGAACACAUGGUGGGACACACCUCUCCCCCAUUACAAGAUAGUGGAGACUGUCAGUGUUGUUGCUAGAUUGACUGGUCUUUGUAGGCAACUAGAAGGACAACACAGGUGUCAUAAGAUCGUUGUUGAUGUUGUUGUUUAAGAGGUAAAAAAGAAGUUUGAUGCAGCUGAAGUGCCAACUGAUAUUGAGCAAAUCAGAAGCAACCACCUGAGAAAGCAACACUAUCGAAAUUUGGGUAUCUAUGUGCCGCCAACUCUGGUAAGAAUGGCAUAGGACAGAAGUGUGAUGAAAAUCACACAGACACUGCUGUUGCAUUACGGCCACAGUGAGCAGCGACUUGUAGGGCAAGAGAGUCAACUGAAACUAACAUUAUGAUGUAGUGUCAUGCUCCCAUGUGACCACUUUUCAAGUUAUUUUGCAAGAUACAGCUCAACCUCCAGAAACGAGACUGCAACUUGUCUGUAAAAAAGCUCUCACAAAAAAUUAUUCAUAGCACUGUUAACAUAGCUGUAUCUUU